rnacentral:tRNA from 1 species
GGGGACAGGCUAUGACUUAGUGGCAGAGCAUUGGCUUUAUAUGCAAAAGUUCCCAGGUUCAACCCUUGGUGUCUCUA